GGCAUCAUCAUAGUGUAAUAGAUUCAGAGCUGAAAAUGACCUCAGAGAUCAUCUCAUCUAACCAUUCAUUUUACGAGUGAGCAAACUGAGGGUUAUGGAGGUAUCUUGCGCAAAGACACACAGUAAGAUCUGAUACAAGAUUUGAGACCAGGUCCUCUCCAUAAUUCAUUAGUACCUUAGUGAGAGUUUCAUUUUAUAAGAUUCUUCAAAAGUUCAGCAAAAAGUAGAAAAAAAUGGACAAUAAAAAAUUCAGUGAACUGAAGAGAAAAAUAUGCUGAUUUUCAGGUGACCCCCAAAUAUUUUGCCCUGUUCUUUCUUCUAGUUUCAGGAGCCCAUGAUGGGACUUUUUAAGAGGGAUAGCUCCCUCUGCAAUUUUUCUGGAUUUUUCCUGAGCAACUGUAGUGGCUCAGUCUUACUUCUUAAUAUAUAUCACCCUGCACAGAAGGACAGGAAUGGUGUUAUUCAACAUUAUAAGGGAGAGAAGAGAGCUACGAUGGAGAUGAAUGGGUCCUUAACUGGAUAUAUAAAGGAAACAUUUAAAAAGUAAACAGAAGAACAGAUCUGGGUUAAGAGGAAGACACAAACAAGGCUUACGAAAUUCUUCACUCAAAGCAUCACUGUCAGAUUGGUCUUGUGGAAAAGAAGCUGCCCUUGUUAGCAAACCAAGUUCAAGAGUUUUGGAACUCAUCCUUGCUGAGAGAGAAAUCAAGUAAAGUCAAGAGGCAUUUAUUAAGCACCAGGUAAUAUGCUAAAUUCUAAUGGGGGAAGAAAAUAUUCAAAUAUUUAGCUAUGAGUAGAUACAGUUAGGAUAAAUUGGGGAUAAUCAAAUGGCAGAAGGCACCAGUAUUAUAGUUUUAGAAAAGAUUUCUUGUAGAAGAGGGAAGGAAG
rnacentral:lncRNA from 1 species